rnacentral:miRNA from 1 species
UUUUGGUCUUAGGGUUCUGUUU